UACAGAGGGGGCAAGCGUUGUUCGGAAUUACUGGGCGUAAAGGGCGCGUAGGCGGCCGCUUAAGUCAGACGUGAAAUCCCUCGGCUCAACCGGGGAACUGCGUCUGAUACUGGGUGGCUUGAAUCCGGGAGAGGGAUGCGGAAUUCCAGGUGUAGCGGUGAAAUGCGUAGAGAUCCGGAAGAACACCGGUGGCGAAGGCGGCCUGCUGGGCAGUAGCUGACGCUGAAGCGCGACAGCGUGGGGAGCAAACAGG
rnacentral:rRNA from 1 species